rnacentral:rRNA from 1 species
AUUGAACGCUGGCGGCAGGCCUAACACAUGCAAGUCGAACGAGUGGCGGACGGGUGAGUAAUGUAUGGGAAACUGCCUGAUGGAGGGGGAUAACUACUGGAAACGGUAGCUAAUACCGCAUACCAUCAGAUGAACCCAUAUGGGAUUAGCUUGUCGGUGGGGUAACGGCUCACCGAGGCGACGAUCCCUAGCUGGUCUGAGAGGAUGACCAGCCACACUGGGACUGAGACACGGCCCAGACUCCUACGUGAGGCAGCAGUGGGGAAUAUUGCACAAUGGGCGCAAGCCUGAUGCAGCCAUGCCGCGUGUAUGAAGAAGGCCUUCGGGUUGUAAAGUACUUUCAGUGGGGAGGCGUUACCGACAGAAGAAGCACCGGCUAACUCCGUGCCAGCAGCCGCGGUAAUAC